CGCGCCUCUUCCGCUGCAACAAGUGCGCGCACGCCGCGCACACCAUUAAUCAAGCAAGGGAACACGAGAAAUGGCACAACGGCCACACAUACGAAUGUCAACUUUGCGGACAAAAAUUCAGGAAGUCAACCUCGUACCUCACGCACAAACGCAAGAGGCACCCGACCGAACACGUGUGCCACAUCUGCGGCGAGAGCUUUGUGGGCAGGCACGGGUUGUUGAUGCACAAGAGCAAGACGCACAGGUGGGAUCAGCAGCCGCUAGUGAAGGAGGAGCCGACCCCCGAACGGUUCUGCGCGGAGUGUGACGUUCAGUUCGACACAACACACGCGUGGCAGCGGCACAUACUCACCUCUGUGAACCACACGCUAGGUGGCGACGGUUCCCAGUGCAAGAUCUGCCAUCAGAGGCUCUCGGGCGAGUCGAUGUCGGCACACAUGAGAGAA